rnacentral:ncRNA from 1 species
AAAUAUGCCCCGUAACUUCGGGAGAAGGGGUGCCCCCUCGCAAAAGGGGGUCGCAGUGACCAGGGCCGGGCGACUGUUUACCAAAAACACAGGUCUCCGCAACCAAAAAAUAAGACCAAUUGAUGACAACAGCUUUCGGCACCCGGCCAAAA